ACAUACGGGUCCCACAGGGGUCCUUCGACACCAGCUCAUCGCCUGGGUUCCACCAUCCACCCACGCACUCAUUUGGCAGCUAUCAACGGAGUAUUCACAGUACGCUGCUCGCAGUUCUAACCGCGGAGGAUAGAGUUGAGACCCACACGACAGCCCCUGCUCUCACAGAACUGAUGUCUCUAGAAGAGUCUUCCCUCAGUGAGAACGUUCUGAUUUCUAGAACAUUCUUUCUUCUGACGAGUGAACAGCCUCACCGGAACUUCCCCAUUCUCCUGGCUUGGUUCCUGAAGUGGCCCAAGGCUGCCUUCUCCCUCCCGUGGGUGAACAGGGUCACUGCUUCCUCUCUUGUCCAGGCCCCCUGGCCUGACCCUGAGUCCUGGGCGUAACGGCGUUGUUGAACCACCACAACCCCAGGCAGCGCCUUCCUCUUGGCCCAGGGGCUCUCUUGGGGACAGUGUGCGGUACUCCCCAAGGGGGCUUUGCUGUGCAAAAGCAGCCCCUGCCGAUGCUGCGGCUCCCGUGGAUGGAGCACUGCCUUGGGAACAGAGUUGGAACUCAUCCAAAAGAAUAAAAGACAACUGUGUUGGAAGAUUGCCAAGGUUUGUAGCUGUGCCACCGCAGACUUCAGAGAUGAACACUGCCUUGGAGACGGGGAGGAUUCAAGUUGCAGAAGCAUUUAGAAACCUCAAACGUGAGACACGGUGGGAAAUCAGGAAGACAUGAGGCUUUGCUCAACACUGGAGAACACCAGUUCUUUUCAGUUUGUAUGCAUCUUUAUCAGGCUGAAGAGAAACUAUACCAGACGGUAAUUUUAAUCUAUGUGAGGAAGCAAAUCGCUGUAAAGAUAAAAUAUGUAAGUAAAUAGAAAAGACUUAAGAUUUUUUUCUUUUCUUAAUUUUCCAAAAAACCACGAUUGUUUAAAGCAGCAAUUAUAACACCAUAGCAUGGAGUUCAUAAUGUU